AUGAACCCAAGUGGUUGCGGUGAUAGUGACUUGAAAAUGAUUGCACAAGGAUUGUUUCGAGAUAGGAACAUGAAAGGCGAGAAGAAGAAAAGGAAAGGAAAAGCUUUCACUUUUCAUCAUUGCUACAAAGAGCUCAAGGAUGAGGAGAAGUGGAAAACUAGAGAGACUUUUGAAUCGUCGAAGAAGAAGAGUGCGGUGCUUGAGGAUGAAGAAGAUGUCGCCAUUGAGUUCACCGCUUGUUGA
rnacentral:rRNA from 1 species